AGGUCUUUUACGUGAUCAAUGAGAAUUCAUACGUUUGAGCCCCGCGAGCACGCACUGAUAUGUACCUGUAAGUAGUGCGUGCUCGGAGUCAUGUUUGAACCCCGUUUGAGCGUGCGUGCUCCGAGUCAUGUGAUCUUCGUUUUGCUAACUAUAGACAAGCCUCCCGGGGCACUCUGUCCCAGUUCUCCCGCCUGAUACAAACAAAAUGCCGCUAGUCGAAGAAGUGUUUUUCCCGAGGAUGAUGUUGGUGCACGUAGCCGAGUCAGUAGUUUCGCCUCAAGGUAUCUGGAAGACGAGGAACCACCCCAGCUGCCCCAGGUCAGCAGCGGAGGGAUGUAUAUGAAAAGACAACCGCCGAACUUUAAUAUCAGUUGGAGACGAAACGCGGCUCGAAGAGGUCAUGGCUUCGGUAGAAGUCAGAUCAAACCGCCGUGGUCUCCAGGGCUCCAUCGACUGCCUUGCUGAUAGGAGGACUUAACCGGUCAGUGUGAUACUGACCAUACAUACUGGACACGAGUGACAACGUCAAGGUGUUCCUGACACCCGUACCUGUGUCCACCAGGACGACGCAGUUCCGCCACAACGUGCACAGGGACUACUACCACGACAGGGAAAGUCAGUGGAGUCCGUGCAAGUCAGUGAGACGAGCUGCAUCACUAAAGGAGCCGGAAUAGACGUCCGUGUGCCUUAUAAAGUCGGGAAGGAGCUACAAAUCACCCAGAACAGCACCGUCGACAGGAGGAAGAUAACGAGAGGGGAGUGCCAGAUCAGUAGCAGAUCUAGAAUAGCCAAUCGAUUGCGCUGCUACAACCAUAGUGAACCUAAAACUAGUUAGAUAAUUCACGGACUAGUUUUGAGGUGAUUUAUACUAUUACUGUGCAUUUUAGUGUACUGGGUAUACAUUGCAGUAGUAGUUGACUGUGCAUGUGUAUCAAAGAACCGUACAUAAGGUUAACCUCAGCGACGACGGACCGAAUCAAACCGGAGAUGGAUGUAGUAAAGGAGAGAACCACCAGAGGAAUGUUCAGUACAAUUAUUCUGUAUCCAACCUGUGACCGAAGUUAGCGGGGUCAGCAUUAUGUAGUAACGUCAAAACACUUCAACAGUCUCCCGUGCCAAGUGUACGGAAAACCUUG